GGGGAUGUGGCUCAGUGGUAGAGCACUUGCCUAGCAAGCGCAAGGCCCUGGGUUCAGUCCCCAGCCCCA
rnacentral:tRNA from 1 species